rnacentral:rRNA from 1 species
UACGGAGGGUGCGAACGUUACUCGGAAUCACUGGGCGUAAAGCGCGCGUAGGCGGUCCGUUAAGUGGGAUGUGAAAUCCCCGGGCUUAACCUGGGAAUUGCAUUUCAAACUGCUUGGCUUGAGUCCGGGAGAGGUGAGUGGAAUUCCCAGUGUAGCGGUGAAAUGCGUAGAUAUUGGGAGGAACACCAGUGGCGAAGGCGGCUCACUGGACCGGAACUGACGCUGAGGCGCGAAAGCGUGGGGAGCAAACGGG